AGCGCGAAGGAGGCCUGGCAGUGCCCGCCCAGCCCUACCCAGCCUCCGCGGGCCCCCGGCUCGGCAGCCGUCACAAGGCUGCCCGCGGGGCCCACUUGCAGGGAUGACAGCGCCUGAGGGGUCCAGUCGGGCUCAUCUUCCGGAAGAUUCCUACGGUCGGGGUCCGAGGGACAACCCUGCGCACAGGGCCCCGCAAAUCCGGGGACACACGGCGGAAGGGGCGCUCCCGCCUGGAGGAAUACCAUGAUCAACUAGCCAAUGACAUAGGUCUGCACAAGUCAGACUAUCCGGAUUGCUGCUCUGACUCUGCUGUCCACCAGUGCCGCCACUUGGUCCCUGCAACCCUAGGAUCCAAUUACUCCUGUUGCAUUUAGGUUCCCCAAUUCAGUGGCUACAGUUCCCACUGUAAGGUCUGGCCUACAGAGAAGAGCGAUCACAGAGCCUUUCGCGGAUGCCGGAGCUCCCCUCACAAACUGCUAUGGAGGGCUGAAUAGCACAAACUGGGAGCUUUAAAGCUUAAAGGGACAUUAGACGUCAUGUGACCCAUGCUGAGGAAGAAUCCGUGGCAAAAGCAGAAUCUGAACUCUGAUCUCCUAACCUCCUAUCCAUCCAGUCUGGAGUUUUUUGCCUUGUGCCACGAAACCUUCCUUCAAGCAUUUGGUUGAAUCUGUGGAUGCAGAACCCGAGGAUAUGGAGGGCCAACUGUCCUUGCUGAGUGCUCUACAUACAGUAUCCUAUCUGAUUUGCACAGCAAACCCAUGAAGCAGAAUAUUUUCAUCGCCCCAGAAGAAACUCCAAGACCUUUAAGCAAUCACUCCCCGUUGCCCCUUUCCUGAAACCUCUGGCAACCACUAAUCUGCUUUCUGUCUCUAUAGAUUUGUCUGUUAUGGACAUUUAAUAUGAAUGGAAUUAUACAAUAUGUAGCCUUUUGUGCCUGUCUUCUUUUGCUUAGUGUUUUCAAGGUUUAUCCACAUUGUCAUGUGUUUCGGGACUUCAUUCCUUUUUACAGAUGAAUACUAUUUCAUUU